rnacentral:rRNA from 1 species
GUCUACAGCCAUGCCACCCUGAACAAGCCCAAUUCCAUCUGAUCUCAGAAGCUAAUCAGGGUUGGGCCUGGCUAGUACUUGGAUGGGAGACCACCUAGGAAGACCAGGUGCUGUAUGUG